UUUUAUAUAGUUUAAAGAAAACAAUACAUUUUCAUUGUAUAAAUAAUAACCUUUACUUAUUUAUAAAAU
rnacentral:tRNA from 1 species